UGUUAUCCGGUUAACAUACACGCAGUAACAGUGUGCAGUAAACAGCAGGUUCAAAUUGAUUUUGGUUUGAUAUUACAGCAGCUGUUCGUUCUUACUGGUUCUUCACGAUUGGUUUUAUUGAUAUAUGAUUUGAACCAAGUUUAUCAGCAGCUAAACAGCAGGAGUUUACAAUAACAGCAGCUGUUUCACUUUGCUUAAAACUGGUUUGUUGUGUUUGUAAUAACAGGUUUUGUUAUCUUGACAGUCUUGACAACAGCUUAUGUUUCAAAACAGCAGAUUCAUAGCAGGUCUGUAACAAUUAACAGCAGGUCUUGCUGUGUUUGGCAAGUAGAAAGCAUUGUGCAUUAUAAUAGAAAUAACAGCAAAGCAGCCCAGCUACACAUUUUGACAUCAACAGGUGCUUAACAGCAGUCCAACACAGCAACCAGUGUGCAGCAAAGGUUUGAAACAACAAGCUGUGCUGUGAUGGGUUUUGACAGCAACUAAGCAGCAGACUUAAGUGUGAUUUUAUCACAGUUUUAUCAGCUUCAUUUUAAAUUGUGUUGUGUUUGUAAUGAGCAACUGGUUGUAAACCUGAACUGAGACUUGAGCAGGAUUAGGUUUGUGUUUUUGUGACUA